CACUUAUCCUGUGGUGAUUUGGCCGGUCGGCUUGCAGCCACGUUAAACAACUUGCUAAAAGACCGGGUAACCGGUCCC
rnacentral:ncRNA from 1 species